rnacentral:rRNA from 1 species
UUGAACGCUGGCGGCAGGCCUAACACAUGCUAGUCGAGCGGAUGAAGGGAGCUUGCUCCUGGAUUCAGCGGCGGACGGGUGAGUAAUGCCUAGGAAUCUGCCUGGUAGUGGGGGAUAACGUCCGGAAACGGGCGCUAAUACCGCAUACGUCCUGAGGGAGAAAGUGGGGGAUCUUCGGACCUCACGCUAUCAGAUGAGCCUAGGUCGGAUUAGCUAGUUGGUGGGGUAAAGGCCUACCAAGGCGACGAUCCGUAACGUGUCUGAGAGGAUGAUCAGUCACACUGGAACUGAGACACGGUCCAGACUCCUACGGGAGGCAGCAGUGGGGAAUAUUGGACGAUGGGCGAAAGCCUGAUCCAGCCAAGCCGCGUGUGUGAAGAAGGUCUUCGGAUUGUAAAGCACUUUAAGUUGGGAGGAAGGGCAGUAAGUUAAUACCUUGCUGUUUUGACGUUACCAACAGAAUAAGCACCGGCUAACUUCGUG